GUAGCUCUCUGCAUUGUUUUUCAAGAAUUAUUCUGUCAUACUUCAUAGACUUUAGCCAUUUUGCUUUAGGAGAGGUGGGCCAAAGCACCUGGGUGUGGGUUGUGAGAGGAGAAGUUGGCUGAAUUAUCUGCAGAAUUGGCUUAGUACUCCUCUUCAUUUUACAAGUAAAAAAAAUCAUGUCUUUUGUCAGACCCUGUUCUUUAGGAUGCCACAGCCCAUAGCCCGCAGCUGGCGGCCUCUGACAAAGAAAUGAAGGAAGCUCAUGACCAGUCUUGUAUUGCCAGCAAGGAGGGCAUGAAGAAAGUGUCACGGAGCAUUUGCCUUUGUGUUGCAAUGGUUGUUGUUGGCAACAUCCCUGAGUUGUACCCACAUUUCAUCUGUUUGAGCUCGUAUUGGGAGAUCAGAGAAGAGCUACAAGGAAGUGACAGGAAAGAUAAUAAUGAACCCAAGAAGCAUAGAAGGAGAGUGUUGGCAAGAGGAAAGGGAAUGGCUGCAGGAGAACAGAGGUUCAGAACCAGGACCUUCUGCCUUGGCCUCCUACCUGCAUGAGUGGCUGGCCACUCUUAGCAUCCACUGCCCACCCUCUGUGGCCACAGGCGAUUCUGCUAAUCUGAGCCAUCUGUGCAUCUUGAUCACAAGGAAGAUACCACCCUAAGCCUCCAAGGCCAGUUGGCCAAACAGAGAUUUGGCCACUCCUCCAGGAAGAGGUUUCUCACUAUGUCAGACGCAUCUCUGUCAGAAGCCCUUGCAAACAGUCAAACCAUUUUGUACUAUCAUUUCUGAUACGCAGCUCAAGAGGCACCAUGGGUACAAUCACAUCUGACAUAAUAUAGCUGCUAGAACACUUGGCCUGGCAGUUUUAGAAAGGGACUUUCAUGAUUAAAACACUCUUUCUCAGGGCAGCAUCUGCGAUGCCACCUACAUCUUUUGCCUGAGGGAUUCCCAGAGGGUCAAUAUCACCUCCUUUUCCCUUCUUUUGCUAACUCAGUGAAGAAAGAGCAAAGAUGAGUGAGUCAGAGCUUGGGAUAAAUUAUUACACAUAUGUCUGUGCAUGUUUGCAUCUGAGAAUAAAUGAAAGAAAAAUUAACCUG
rnacentral:lncRNA from 1 species